rnacentral:rRNA from 1 species
GGAAAGUUGAAAAGAACUCUGAAGAGAGAGUUCAAUAGUACGUGAAACCAUAAUGAGUAAAACGGAUAACUGUACUAUUUUAGUGAUUUGCUUCUCAGCAGCUAGUCGUGAUAUUCGAUGGUGCGAGAAUUAGCUGUUUUUCAGCAAAAUUCACGUAGUUAGAAUGUUUCAAUAAGCUGCGAUUUGGUGCAUUUCCUAUCAUUAAAAAGCUUUAUGGUCCUUGCAGAGGCGUAUUGCAGUUCGCACUAUGUGCGAAGUAAUGUGCUGUGCUUUGUGACUGUUGAGUUUGGCUGAGAUUACUUUAGUCCGAGAUGCUUAAAGCUUUGGCGGCAUGUAUGUCUAGCAGAUUUGUUUAUUCUAGUCUGUGGCGACCAUGUUGUUACGGCUUGCGUCUCAUGUUUAAUGAUCAAGUACUAGUUAUUUGACCCGUCUUGAAACACGGACCAAGGAGUUCAAAUGGCACGCGAGUCUUUGGGUGUAAACAUCCAACGGCGAAGUGAAAUGCGAGUGUAUUGUUAUUUGUGAUAUUCACGAAGAAAUGAUAAGCUACUGAUGCUAUCAGGCAUUUGUAGACUACAAGCGUGUCGUUUGAGACCCGAAAGAUGGUGAUCUAUGCCUAGUCAAGAUGAAGCCAGAGGAAACUCUGGUGGAUGUCUGAAG